UACAGUUUAAAUGUAAUACUUUGAAAUAAACUGUACAAACUUAACCGUAUUUCUCUCAAGAAAGUCAUAGAAAGUAUAUUGGAAACUUUUGUUGGAUUAUUUUAAGUAUUAAUAAUAAUUUAGGUCAAGCUUACCAAAGACAAGAGAGCACGUGUGAGAAAAGGUUUUAUGGUAUCAAAGCAAGCCAGUGUCAGGACAGUGGCAAAUGGAAUUCUGAAAUCUUUGCCUACCCCUCUGAAAGACAACCACAAGAUGGACCGACGAUCUGGUCAAGAUCGCCGGAAUACUUUGGAUGAGGGCAGCGCAGGACCGAUCGUCGUGGAAAUCUUUGGGGGAGGCCUUUGUCCAGCAACCAGACAAUGAUAUAUUUAAUAAAAUUAACUUAAACGUACAUAUAAACAUCCAAACGUA